rnacentral:rRNA from 1 species
GUCCACGCCGUAAACGUUGGGCACUAGGUGUGGGUCUCAACCAACGAGAUCCGCGCCGUCGCUAACGCAUUAAGUGCCCCGCCUGGGGAGUACGAUCGCAAGAUUAAAACUCAAAGGAAUUGACGGGGGCCCGCACAAGCAGCGGAGCGUGUUGCUUAAUUCGAUGCAACGCGAAGAACCUUACCUGGGCUUGACAUGUACGGAAAAGCCGUAGAGAUACGGUGUCCUUCGGGGCCGUACACAGGUGGUGCAUGGCUGUCGU